GAAGAAAAAGGGUGUUGAUGAGUUUCCUUUCUGUGUACAUUUGGUCAGUUGGGAGAAGGAGAAUGUCUCUAGCGAGGCACUUGAAGCUGCCCGUAUUGCUUGCAAUAAGUACAUGACCAAGUCUGCUGGGAAGGAUGCCUUCCACCUUAGGGUCAGGGUUCAUCCGUUUCAUGUUUUGCGUAUUAACAAGAUGUUGUCAUGUGCUGGAGCUGAUAGGCUCCAAACUGGCAUGAGGGGAGCUUUUGGUAAGCCACAGGGUGUUUGUGCUCGUGUUGCAAUUGGUCAGGUUCUUCUCUCUGUUCGUUGCAAAGAUGGAAACAGUAACCAUGCACAAGAGGCUCUGCGCCGUG
rnacentral:lncRNA from 1 species